CUCGCAAGGGUAAGGUGGGAUG
rnacentral:miRNA from 1 species